UAUUUCAAGCUGCAGUCAGUUGAGUUGGACCAGUGUCGCCCUUCCGUUGUCACUGCUCCAAGCAUAUUCGAGAAGGGCUACAUCCAUUACAAAGAAGAAUGUUUGAGAUCAAAACCAUCAGUCUUGAAUAUGAGGAUCACCUUAUCCACAUGUAGAAGACGACUUGACCGAGCUCACAGUGAAUUUACUGCUGUUUGAAAAAUGGUGACUAGUUUUCUGGUUUCUCAUUCAAAAGCUAUUCUUUCACCGAUCAUUAUUGCAUGGACCAUGGUCCACACAGCUUUGUGGAUCAAAAAUAAAAAGUACAUUAUUUUUGUACUGAAG